rnacentral:misc_RNA from 1 species
GAUGAAGAACGUAGCGAAAAGCGAUAAGUAAUGUGAAUUGCAGAAUUCAGUGAAUCAUCGAAUCUUUGAACGCAUCUUGCGCUCCUUGGUAUUCUGAGGAGCAUGCCUGUUUGAGUGUCAUUAAAUUCUCAACCGCACUGACUUUGAAUUGGUGUGGCUUGGAUUUGGGGGGAAAAUUGUUGUGGGCUUUUUUGUAUAGUCUGCUCCCCUGAAAUUGAUUAGCGGUACCUUUGUGGAACUGUCUACAGGUGUGAUAAUUAUCUACAUCCUAGACAUCUGCUGGAAUGCUGCUUUCUAAACCUUACUUGUAUUGACAAUCUUGACCUCAAAUCAGGUAGGACUACCCACUGAACUUAAGCAUAUCAAUAAGCGGAGGA